rnacentral:ncRNA from 1 species
UUUUAUCAGGGGUGCUUUUUUAUCCGUUGGAAUUAAAAAAGGCUGAGAUUAUACCCUAAAACCUGAUCCGGAUAAUACCGGCGGAGGAAGAUAAUGAAG